GAAAAAUGGAUAAGAUAAUGCAAUAAAAGGAUGGUAAGUAUAAAAUUUAUUAUAUUGGUUUUCAAUUAUUAAUUAUUUUUUAUUAGAUCAAAUUAUGAAGCUGCAGGCCCAAUUAUUGGAACAACACAAAAUUUUAGAUAACAGCAAAGCUAAGGAUGCUCAAAUUUUGAGUCUACAAGCUCAGCUAGGGGAAAAUAACAAAUUGGAACGGAACAGUUUCCAAACAGUGAAGGAGGUUUUUCAAAACUCUUCCCUAACUGAACGUGAGGAUGAGUUGACAUUAGGCGAACACAGUCAGUCCACCACCUGACAGUGUGUUAAAGUUAAAUUCUGUUAGUGCUGCACUAAAAGAAUCGUUAGUAAUAAGUCCAUGCAGCGAAGGAAGUGAACAAUUGUGGGACCGUAUUUGGGCCGAAAAUGGGUGUGGUACGGAAACCGAGAUAUGGCACGAGUUCAACAUAAAGCAUGGAUUAGAAUUUUAGCAGGGGAUCAAGUCAAGUCUGGAAGUGUUACAAGAUGGAAGAGUCAGCCUACAGUUGAAAAAACACUGAGAGUGGAUUACCAUUAAGCAAUCCUUUAUAGUUCUGUCACAGCUAGAAGCCUCAAAUAAUUCUGCUUCCCUUGCUAAAGAACAACUUGUCCUUUACGCUCAGAGUGUUGGUGAAGCUGGGUACUUAAAUGGCCCUAAAGAUGUUUCACUUCACUGGCAUUGCAGCGAUGAACAUCAUACAUGGACUCUUUAGGAAAGGAUUUUCAGCAUACUGGGAACACAACUAUCAACAAUGCUACAUUCUAGGGGUGCUAUUUUAUCAUUCAAGAGCCUUAUACAAUGAUUUUCAUCUACAAUUUGUAUGGCCUUUCCCAAGCUUCUGUCAGAAGUUGAAUCUAUGAGUCAUGUAAGUCACAUGAGCAACAAUUGAGAUGCUUAAUGGUGUUGUUUUUCUUUUCUCAGUGUAGGUUAAUAGUAACAUUGGAUCUGAAAAAAUUCUUGGUUGGGGCAUGACACUGAAUAAAUUGUAAUGAUUGGAUGGAUGACAUGAUAUUUCUAUACUUCAUUCGGAUUCCCGAGACGGUAUUUUAUAUUCAAAAAAUUGAAGUGCAUAUCUGGGCUCCCUUCCUUUCCGUAGCCCCGUUUCCCCUCGACUCG